rnacentral:rRNA from 1 species
UACGUAGGGUGCAAGCGUUAUCCGGAAUUAUUGGGCGUAAAGAGCUCGUAGGCGGCUUGUCGCGUCGACUGUGAAAACUCGGGGCUCAACUCCGAGCUUGCAGUCGAUACGGGCAGGCUAGAGUUCGGUAGGGGAGGACUGGAAUUCCUGGUGUAGCGGUGAAAUGCGCAGAUAUCAGGAGGAACACCAAUGGCGAAGGCAGCACUCUGGGACGUGACUGACGCUGAGACGCGAAAGCGUGGGGAGCAAACAGG